rnacentral:misc_RNA from 1 species
UCGCCCGAGUCGCCUCGAGCCCGUCUCACCUGUGAACGAGGGAACGCACCGCAAAUUCGCUCGAGUCUCGCAGCCGUUCCACCGCGAAUCGGUGUGUGCCACGUGAUUAUCUACAUCGGGUCGCUCGUUUCUGCGGUCAACGCGUUGCACCUCCUCGUCGACCAAGACGACCACCAUGACGACAGCGGCCAAGCUGUACGGCAAGGACCUGAGCGAGUAUGACGACAUUGACGUGGACAAACUGCUGGCGGAGCUCACGCCCGAGGAACUCAACAUACUGGCCAAGGAAGUGGAUCCUGACGACAGUUUCAUGCCACCCUCGCAACGCUGCAGUUAUGAGUGCACCAAGAGCCCCACGGGGCCACUGAAUCGCAAGAAACUCAUCGAGCACAUCAACAAGCAGGCUCUAGAGACACCUGAUAUUCCAGAAUUGAAGCCGUACGUUCCUGGUGUGGUUAGAGGUAAAAAAUGGAUACCUCCACCGCAAGAGUCCGUGAAGGAGAAGGAGGCGGAGGAACAGAUCGCGAUAGACCUCGGCGAGGAGUACGAGCAGGCGCUUUCAGCUGCUACCCAGGAGGAAAUCAUUGAUCUUGCUGCUAUUCUUGGAUUCCAUUCCAUGAUGAAUCAGGAUCAGUAUCACGCGUCGCUGUUAAAUUCUGGACAACCGGUCGGCCUCGGCUGGGACGGAGUGACGAAGGCCAGCCAGCCGAAAGUUUACCCGAUGGAGCCGCCCAACGACACGGACGUCGACGCUACCAUCAAACAAGUGCGGAACGACGAUUCGACUCUGGUCGAGCUGAACUGGAACAAUAUUAAAAAUAUCUCAGACGAAAAAUUCCUCCAGUUAUUCGAGGGUUUGGAAAUGAACACGCAUCUGGAAUCCCUGAGUUUGACCAACGUCGGGCUGAACGACAAGACCGCGCAACGGCUGGCCGAUGCAUUGGAGAAGAACUCGACGCUUAAAGUCCUCAACGUGGAGACGAAUUUCAUAAGCCCACCUGUGAUAGUAAGGCUCAUCAGAUCGCUCCUCAAGACAAAAGCUAUCGAGGAAUUCCGAUGUUCGAAUCAGAGGUCACAAGUGCUGGGUAACAAGAUCGAGAUGGAGAUCACGCAGCUGGUGGAACAAAACCCGACGUUGCUACGGCUCGGGUUGCAUCUGGAAUUCAACGACGCCCGACAUCGCGUCGCUGCACACUUGCAACGCAAUAUCGAUAGGAUCCGCCGUGUGGAACCCAUGGAACGAGCUAAGCUUGUAGCGAUCGCUGGUGGUCCUGCUACCUUCACCGUUCUUCCCGUAGAUGACUUAAAAAACAGAGCGUAGCGCUGUUGCAGCGCAUACGGCAGUCCCGGCUCGGGGUGGCGACAUCCUAACGCGAAGUGGCGUUCGCCUAGAUCGCCUGCGCCGCACGGGAAGAGCUUCCCGCAACUACACCAUCGGCUGGGCCAUGCAAUGAUAAUGAUGAUAAUGAUC